GACAGAGGUGCCGAGCGUUAGGCGGAAUCACUGGGCUUAAAGCGUGUGUAGGCGGACCGUUAAGUGUCUUGUGAAAUCCCACGGCUCAACCGUGGAACGGCUGGGCAUACUGGCGGUCUUGAGCGGUCCAGGGGCGAGCGGAACAAGCGGUGGAGCGGUGAAAUGCGUAGAUAUUGGGAAGAACACCGGUGGCGAAGGCGGCCUGCUGGGCAGUUUGGCUGACACUGAGGCGCGACAGCGUGGGGAGCAAACAGG
rnacentral:rRNA from 1 species